GCUGGGCAUGGUGGUGGGUGCCUGUAGUCCCAGCUACUUGGGAGGCUGAGGCAGGAGAAUCGUUUGAACCCGGGAGGCAGAGGUUGCAGUGAGCCAAGAUCACGCCACUGCACUCCAGCCUGGGUGACAGAAUGAGAUUCUGUCUCAA
ensembl:misc_RNA Metazoa_SRP Metazoan signal recognition particle RNA